rnacentral:rRNA from 1 species
GCUUUUGUACACACCGCCCGUCGCUACUACCGAUUGAAUGAUUUAGUGAGGUCUUCGGACUGGUACGCGGCAUUGACUCUGUCGUUGCCGAUGCUACCGGAAAGAUGACCAAACUUGAUCAUUUAGAGGAAGCAAAUGUCGUAACAAGGUUUCCGUAGGUGAACCUGCGGAAGGAUCAUUA